GUUCAAGGUGGCGGCGCCCAAUGGCACCAUGAGCGAUUUGGAAAGCAGCAGCAGCAGCGACGCGGAGGAGGUGGAACGAUGUCGCGAGGCGGCGAUGCCGGCCUGGGGCUUGGAGCAGCGCCCGAGGGGGCCGGUGAAGCCAACAGCCGCACUCAGCACACAGCCAGGUGCUGCAAAUACUCAGUUGCCAACCACCCAGCCGAGCUUCAGGCACAAGGCGGAUGAGCACGAACAAGAUGGCAAUGAGCUUCAGACCACCCCCGAAUUCCGAGCCCACGUAGCUAAGCAGCUGGGAGUCCUGCUGGACAGCUCCAUUACCAUCUCAGUAGUGAAGGAGCCAAGAAAGGCUGAAGUACAGAGAGUCGCCCCAGAGGAUGACGGCUUCCGGCUCUUCUUCACAUCCAUCCCCGGAGGCUCUGAGAAGGAGGCCACCCCCCAGCCCCAACGGAAACGGUUGCCUUCCAGCUCCAGCAGUGACGAUGGCGGCGAGGAGUUGCAGCGGUGCCGGGAGGCGGCUGUGUCAGCCUCCGACAUUCUGCAGGAGUCUGCCAUCCAUAGCCCUGUCAACGUGGAGGAAAAGGCAAAGAAGAAGAAAAAGAAGUUGAAAAAGAAAGCCAAGAAGGAGGCCAGCACCGACAUCGUCACCGCCACCACCACCACAAGCAAGGCCGCCGUCAGGAAGCAGGAACAGGAGUCCGCUGAGCUCAACGGAGACCAGGUGCCACUUGGAACCAAAAAGAAGAAAAGGAAGAAAAAGGCAAAGAGGGCCAGUGAGGCCUCCCCAUUCCCGCCAGCAAGGAGUGCAACAGCUGUGCCUGCAAACUGAGCCCAGCCCGACUAGGGGCGCCCACUGGGGACAAGAUAUUUCCACGCCCUGCCUCCCUCUCCCAGUUCAAGGACUUGGCUGGUAAGUCCAGACUCUGCCCAUGACUGGGGCUUGCCCCAGGGCCAGGGCAAAGGCGUAGCUGUAGGGCCAGAAGCCUGAGCUGAGCCCUGCCCUUCCGGGCUCCCACUGGGGCUGGGGCUGGAGCCGGCCUGUGGUACCAGAGCAUUCCAUGGCCUCGGGAAGCAAGAGGAGCCUCCAGUUACCCAAGCUGAUGGCCAAGUUGUAGAGCUUCCACCUCCCCAGUCCUGUCUGAGGAGAGCAAGUCAGGGGAGACCUUUUCCUUCUCCUCCACCUCCUCCACCUGGUGUGGGAGAUGAUCUGAAGAAGACAAGGGAGGGGGACCCCGAGAUGCAGAGGCCUGGAACGAGUUUUGUGCUUCUCCUGCCAAGCAACACAGACUUGAUAUAACAUUGCCUGAAAAAGAAGGAGAGAGAUUUCCCCCUCCCCUGGUUUUCCAGAAUCCCCUUUCUCCACAUGGGUGAAUACACCACACAAGAUCAUGUCUCUGAGCCAACCAGAUUAUGGAAAAUAAAUUGUCAAGGGACCUAGCAUGCAACAGAGUGAUUUGGGUGCUGCCUCCCUGUCAGUGCUAAAUCUUAAUGAGCCAUUUUAAGUAAGCAUCACAUGGGUGGGGUCUUCCUGCCUACAUCCCAAGGAGUGUUCCUGCACCCCAGCUUCAAUGAAGUGUCACAGCCCUUGUGGAUUGGGAUUCAUGGACCAGAGUAUUCUGCAGGAAGGAGCAGAAGUUCAAGGUGAAGGUAAAGUUCUGGCUUCAUCACCUUGCCUUGGAGAUUCAGCAGAGCAAGAAAGACAGGUGGGCUGUGAGAGUGUGUGUGCUAGACUCAAGCCCCCGGGUCCCUCUGCUCCCCUCUGCCUACCCAUCCCACUCUGGGCAAUGUGUGGACACACAAGAAGUUUCUGCUACGUUCCUCAUUUGCUUUACUAAAAGUUAAAUAAAUGUACAGGCUCGCCCUUAGCCAGCUGCAAGCUGCAGGGGUGUCAGCUCUCCCCCUGCACCGGAUGGAGGCUGUCCACGAGGGCCAGGUUAUCUGCAGCAGCCCUGGGAUGAUGAGGGCACAUGAGCCCUGGGUUUCCACGGCUGCCUUGUCCCUCAGGGCCUCAGGUUCCGGGGCGCUGUGAAUGCGUGGACCUCUCCCCAUCGCCUCAGCCAGCCAGGCUCCAGGCUUCCAGGCGGCAGCCUCUCCACCAGUCUUGCCUCUCCUCCCUCUGGGCACCUCAGCUCUGCCAGCUGCUCCUGCCUUACUGCCUCCUGAGCUCAGCAGCUUCUCCUCCAAACCAAGGAAGGGUCUGCUGCCCCAGGACCUCGACUUCACACCAGGCUCAGAGUCACGAGGCUCCCAUAGCAAUGAGGAUGACGUCUAGCCCUUAGGGGGGCUUUCCAGCAGCAGCAGGAUGCCAGGCUAGCAUCAGAAGGCUUGAUGCUCGGGGAGGGGGAUGUAUGUCCAAGAAAACUGGAGGUCACAGGGGCGGGGAGAGGGAUGGCUCAGGACGAGGGAAGCUGGUGAGGCCUGCUUGCCCUGGGCCCCUGGCACAGAGUAGCCACUCAGACGAUGCUGAUGUGAGUUGGGGACAGGGGUGGGUCCAAAUGGGGGUUCAUAGCAGGAAGAGAGGCUGGGCAGAGUGGCCUGGUCGGGGCAUAGGUGACAGAAUAGGGCCAUGUUGAUCCAUGACCUCUGUCCCUUGUGUCCUGAGAAGUGUGGCUGGCAAUUUCCUUCAGGAUACCAGGGCUCUUCACAGGCCCAGCCUUGGGGUACCAGAGUCCAAAGGCUGCCCCCUUUCUGUUCCAAGUGAUAAGAUGUACCCUGAGCGUCAGGGACAGUCCCUACCGUGUCGCACUGGGAACAAACUGCUUCCCAGCUCUCCACAGUCCCCUCUUGUGCACUGAAGCAGCCUUCUUCGGGUUGGGGCACCUCAGAAUCCCCAUCUCUGAUGCUGGCAGAGCAGGGUGGGGACCGAGGCACCGUUUUCCAGGGGAGAGCAGCAGCCCCGUGACAGCGGAAGUUUUGCAGGCUCAGAUGUUCUCAUCACCCCUCAAGCAGGCUGUGGAGGCUCCAGGGCCCAGUCCAUGGGAGGCGGUUGCCAUGGUUACUGGGAAGAAGAGGCCAUCUGCGUGGAGAUGAAGGUCUCGAUGACGCUGUGGUUGGACGGCAGCAGGUGGCUGUGGCCGUUGGUGGAGUCGGAGCUCUGGUACAGCACCAGGCUGCUGGAGGACACUGCAGAGGCAGGUGAAGCUGUUGGAUUGCACACCAAGGCCAGCCUGACCCCUCCGGACCCACAGGGUACUCAGGAUGGGAACAUGGGGCCUCGCCUCCUCCUGAGUCUUAGCAGCUUCCAGGUCUCUGCUGGUCCCCAGGGAGCACUUUGACCCCUGUUCCCCGCUCAAGUGCUGUGGAUCAAGCCUUCCCCUCCACCCACCAUCCCACCAAAGGGGCUGCUGGUCAAGAGGCCCCACCCAGCCAGCAGGGUCUCCACCACGGCUUUCUGGUGGGCUGCCUCCUCCGGGCUGAGGUUCUCCAGCUCUUUGAGGAUUGGUGGCGUGAAGUCUUCCCCAUCGUCGUCCGUCUCUUCCUCGGAGCCCCUCGUCUCCCCCAGUCCGUUGGGCAGCUCGGCCAGCUCCCCUCUCCCACCACCGCCACAGGACUCCCCCUUGUCCAGGGGGCCAUCUCCGGCCAGCAGCCUCAUGAAGUAACUGCUACUCAAGCCAGACUGCCUGGGUUUGAGCCUGGCUCUGCCACUUACCAGCUGUGUGACCCUGGGCAAGUUGCUUAACCUCUCUGUGCCUCAGUUUCCUCUUCUGUAAAAUGGGGGUGAAAAUACUGUCUGUCCUGUAAGUUGUUAGGAUUAAUGAGGCAAUACACAUAAAGCACUGUGCCUCGCACAUUGUAAGUGCUCCUACGACUGAAUGAUUAUUGUUACCUGAUCAUUAACCUGGCUGCCCUACUCCCACUGGUCAGGCUGAGUUCUCUUCUUUUGCAAAAAUUCUCCAUGUAAGAGUCCCUGCCACCCAUUUUAUGUGACUCCUAAGCCCUGAUUCUGGCAUUCAAGGCUAUCAAUACCUCAACUCCACUCUCUCACCAGUCACACUACUCGCCAUCUCCAGGGCAUCCCUGAAACUCUCUCUCAUCUGUGACUUUUGCACCAGCUGUUUUCUCUGCCUGGAGACCCCCACCUCUUAACCUGUCCUCAAGAUCCUCCAGGGUCUUCUGCCCACAGCGAUGUGAGCCUUCACUAGCCAGCCUUCCCUAACUCACUGGAGCAGGACAGCAGCGACAGAAAGCCCUGGGCUGAGGAUGAGAGAUGCGGCUUCCGGACCCCACGCUCAAAGGGUUUGACUUAGUAGGUCUGGAGUGAAGCCCACAAUGUGCAAGUGUCUUGCAUCAAAGGGCAGAGAAUUGAAUGGUGUUCUCUGCAAAUCAACCAUACAUGUGGUGGUACGUGUGUAUCUGAGGAAGAUGUGGAAGAACAUACGCCAAACUGUCAACAUCGGUUAUCUUUGGCAGAGAGGUGUGCACAAACAAAACCAAAAACAAUAGUAGGGAAGAGAAAAAGAGAUCAAGAAAAGAAGCCUCAAAGAAAGAAAGAAAGAAAGAAAGAAAAAAGGAAGAAGUAAAGAAAGAGAAAAAAGGAAGAAAGGAAGGAAGGAAGAAGGAAAGAAGUUGUAACUAUGUGAGGUGAUGGUUAUUAAUUAAACUUCGUGUGGUAAUAUUUUGCAAUAUAUACAGACAUAUAUCGAAUCAUCAUGUAUACCUUAAACUAAUACAAUGUUAUAUGUCAACUAAACAAUAAAGUUGGGACAAAUUAGAUUGUGAUGAUGGUUGCACAACUGGUAAUACACUAAAACCACUGAACUGUCAUUUUAAAGGGGUGAGUUUUGUGGUAUAUGAGUUACAGCUCAAUAAAGCACUUAAUAAAAAAAA